AGCGAACGCUGGCGGCAGGCUUAACACAUGCAAGUCGAACGGGCGUAGCAAUACGUCAGUGGCAGACGGGUGAGUAACGCGUGGGAACGUGCCUUUCGGUUCGGAACAACCCAGGGAAAAUUGGGCUAAUACCGGAUACGCCCUUACGGGGAAAGAUUUAUCGCCGAAAGAUCGGCCCGCGUCUGAUUAGCUUGUUGGUGAGGUAACGGCUCACCAAGGCGACGAUCAGUAGCUGGUCUGAGAGGAUGAUCAGCCACACUGGGACUGAGACACGGCCCAGACUCCUACGGGAGGCAGCAGUGGGGAAUAUUGGACAAUGGGGGAAACCCUGAUCCAGCCAUGCCGCGUGAGUGAUGAAGGCCCUAGGGUUGUAAAGCUCUUUUGUGCGG
rnacentral:rRNA from 1 species